rnacentral:rRNA from 1 species
UACGUAGGGGGCUAGCGUUGUCCGGAAUCAUUGGGCGUAAAGAGCGUGUAGGCGGCUUGUCGCGUCGUCCGUGAAAACCCGGGGCUCAACUCCGGGCUUGCGGGCGAUACGGGCAGGCUAGAGUUCGGUAGGGGAGACUGGAAUUCCUGGUGUAGCGGUGAAAUGCGCAGAUAUCAGGAGGAACACCGGUGGCGAAGGCGGGUCUCUGGGCCGAUACUGACGCUGAGGAGCGAAAGCGUGGGGAGCGAACAGG